AAGAAAGCACUUUUGUUUUCCUGUUUUUGGUGGUAUACUCUAGUUCCUUCCCCACUAUUUUUAUCAUCAGUUUUUCUUCUAAAAUCAAUUUACAGAAAGAAACAAUUUUAGUUUCAAAUUCCAAGUUCGAGUUCAACCCAUUCGCUGUUUCCAGUUGAGUUUGCCUUCUGCAGAGAGUACGAGAGGAGCUUGCAGCAGUAAGCUGGGCAGAGCUUACGGCAGGCGUUGAAAGCACAGAAGUUAGUAUUUUGUCUUGUUUAAUAUGUAUAUCACGGGGACGGUUCUGGGGGUAGUAUGUUGGUUUGAUCCCAUGUCAUUUUCUUAUCUUUUGUGGUUUGUAUAUAUUUGCAAAAAUGAAUAAUUAGGUGGUGCAGUGUUUUUUUGUUUGGGUCUUACCUUGGGCGUGUACUGACUAGUUGUUAUGUAAAUAUUAGUGCUCUAAAAAAGGUCUCAUAUGUAUACAUACCGAUCACAUGGACUCCCAAGGCUGUGUUAUUAAGUAAUGGCUCUCUUUCAUAUAUGUUUAGCUAUAUUUUAAAUACUGCGGACCUAUUUCAUUUUA